rnacentral:rRNA from 1 species
UACGGGGGUGGCAAGCGUUGCUCGGAAUCACUGGGCGUAAAGGGCUUGUAGGCGGUCUUUCAAGUCAGAGGUGAAAUCCCUCGGCUCAACCGGGGAACUGCGUGUGAUACUGGCGGGCUUGAAUUCGGGAGAGGGAUGUGGAAUUCCAGGUGUAGCGGUGAAAUGCGUAGAUAUCAAGAGGAACACCGGCGGCGAAGGCGGGUUGCUGGGCCGAAACUGACGCUGAGGCGCGAAAGCCAGGGGAGCGAACGGG